rnacentral:lncRNA from 1 species
AUAUGGAUGUUCCCAGACUAGGUGGUGAAUCAGAGCUGCAGCCGAUGGCCUAUACCACAGCCACAGCAACACCAGAUCUGAGCUGCGUCUGCCACCUACAUCAUAGCUCACAGCAAUGCCGGACCUUUAACCCACUGAAUAGGACCAGGGAUCGAACCCACAUCUUCAAAGAUACUAGUCAGGUUCGUUACUGCUGAGCCACAAUGGGAACUCCUAUUUUGAAAUAAUUUUAGACUCACAUGCAAGUUUUAAAAAUAGUACAAUUCCCUUGUCCCUGUCACCAUUUUCCCCAAAGACAACAUUGACAUAACCCUAACACAAUGAUCAAAACUUCCUAGUUUUGACAUUCCUAGUUGACAUUGGGCCACUCCCGCGGCAUAUGGAGGUUCCCAGGCGAGGGGUGGAAUCAGAACGGUAGCUGCUGGCCUACACCAGAGCCACAGCAACACGGGAUCCCAGCCACAUCUGCAACCUACACUACGGCUCACGGCAACGCUGGAUCCUUAACCCACUGAGCAAGGCCAGGGAUCAAACCCACAACCUUAUGGUUCUUAUUCGGAUUUGUUAACCACUGAGCCAUGACGGGAACUCCAGAACUGAUUUGGAUUUUACCUGUUUUCACAUGUUGAUUUUUCACAAGGGAGGAUACUGACAUUCAACAUGUGCAUAUUUUUGAAUAACCAUCCCACAAUAAGGACACAGAAUUCCUCCAUCCCCUUUAAGAGACUUCCCCACACUCUAACCUGGUAACACUCAUCUGUUCGUCAUCACUAUAUUUUUCUCAUAUCAAAGCUAUGAUAUACCUGGAAUUAUAGAGUGGUAGAAGCUUUUAUUUUUUUAAUUCAGCUGUUUUAAAAUUAUAGAAAGGAGUACAAAAAAUUAUAUGGAAGAUCUCCAUGUACUAAUAGAAAAUGACCUCCAAAAUGGAUUGCCAAGCAGGAAAAAACAAACAAAAAAGCUAUGGAAAGUUUAAAUAUAUGUAUUUAAAUAAACAAAGAAAAACAACUGUUAAUGGAGCAGUUCUAGAAAUAUAUGCAAGAAAGUUGUACUAGCUGUCUCUGGGGUAGGGUCCUGGCAGCCAGAUCAGAGGUGUUGGAUAUUUAUUUUCAUUUACAUACCUCUGUGUUAUUUGAAUGCUGUAUUUGCAAUUAUACUUUAAAUGCAUCUCUAAAAUGUUUUAAAACCACUGGUUUCACUUAAUGAUCUCAUUUUACAGAUAGUACAUCAGCCUUGCUCAGGUCUGCCUGCACAAAGCCUCUAAAGCAGAGGGAGGCUGUAUGAGGAAGGGCUGGGCCAGGAGGUGGGCUUUGUUGGAAAGUUUCUGUCUCCCAUGGAAACAAAGGUGCUGCCAUGGUUCCCUCUUGGCACAACAGAGAAAGUCAAAGGCUCGGGAUUUUAUACAGGAGUCUCUUGAUCCUAUGAGAUUCCUUACUUAGAACACAAUGCUGACUUCUCUCCUGGGCAGGAACUAGGAGGAACUUAGGGCAGACCCUGAGUAGCUCCUCUCAGAAGCAUCCUUGGUCUGGCUAUUCUCCUGUCCUUGAAGAUGCUCAAUGACACUUUUGAUCAGCACUGUUCAGAGUCUUUGGUUUUUCCUAUUUGUGCUUUUCAUCAGUAGGGAAUAACCACACAAUUUCUCCCUUGAUAUCAGGGCCCACAACAGUAUGAUGUCUCAGGGAACGAUAUCAUGACACUCUAAUUUUUCUUUGCUUUCGUGGCUGAAAAUCCGAAGGUACUCUAAAAUUCUAAGAGGGAAAAGUGGCCAUCACCCACACUUUAUCUGUCAUUUCUGGAUUUGGAUUCAUCUGUUUUAACCUUUCAAUCUAGCCUCUGGUGCCCACUUCCUCUGAAAGGAAACAUUUGCCAUCCAGAAAACGGUACUCAUCUCUACUGGCUAGACACACAGCGCUCUGGGAAACCCUAACGCUUAUUGACUGGAUGAUCUCAAGUAAUCUGCCUCAGUUUCUUACCUCUAAAAUGGGGCUAAUAAAAAGUAUUGGCUUCUAGGCUCUUGUGAGAUUCAGUGAGAUAAUGCACAGAGAACAUAUAGCACAACGCCUGUGACAUAGUAAGUACUCGAUACAUGUUCAAAAAGGAAAACAUGAAGCCAGUUGCUGGCAACUCUAUCUCUAGUCCUUAGGCCACUUGCCAUCUAAGCCCCUGCUUCAAAUUAUUUCUUUUAAUUAUUUUCUUAGGUCCUUCUACUUUGAACAACUUUGAUGUAGGCUAUAGGAUGAUUUAGGCUUUGGCAAAUAGAAUCCAAUGUUCCUCAUAGUUUUGGCCUUGCUCUAGCAGGGUAAGUUCUCUCAUGAGGCCUAUUCUUUCUAAACCCUAUUGACCAGCUUACAGUGCUCUUCCAGAAAUAGGAACCUGGUAUUAUUCACUUGGAUUUUCAUUUUUCUCUUAUCUACACCCUUCCUCCAUCAUUACUUUGUCCAUUCCCUCCUCAUUCGAUCUAUUUCCAGUUUAUACAUUCAAUGGAUUUAAAUUUAAACUACUGGAAUUAAACCUAAUCAUGGGAAGAUUUCUAAAUUUCCCUUAGACAAUUUAUUUAUUUAUUUAUAUUGUGUUUUUGCCUUUUCUAGGGUCACUCUCGUGGCCUAUGGAGGUUCCCAGGCUAGGGGUCAAAUUGGAGCUAUAGCUGCCAGCCUACACCACAGCAACUCGGGAUCCGAGCCGAAUCUGCAACCUACACCACAGCUCACAGCAAUGCCGGAUCCUUAACCCCCUGAGCAAGGCCAGGGAUCGAACCUGCAACCUCAUGGUUCCUAGUCAGAUUCGUUAACCACUGAGCCAUGACGGGAACUCCAUAGACAAUUUAUUAAUUGUCCCUUCUUGAAAUAUCAGGAAGAGGUAGUGAUGUGCUUAUUAUGUUUCUGGCUAUAAGACACUGCGACAUUAGUGACCAUUCCAAGACCAGGAAAGAUUUCAAGUACAUAAGCCAACUCAGUUCAAGCCCAAUGAAGAUUCCUUGGUGUUAGUAAUGGAGCCUUGGUGAACUCAUAAUGUAGCAAAAUGCAAAAACUCACAGCCUACGUUUUUACAUAUGUGUGAUAAUAUUUACCAAUGCUUAAAUAAGCAACCUCCUAUUAUCUCACAAAAUUAUAAUUCAGCAGAUAAUAUUGCCAACAAAUGAGCAAUGAUUGUACAUGGGUGUGUUGAACUCAAUUCCACCCACAUGUGGUGUGUUUCCCUUUUAUUCAAAGGUCUCAGUUACAGCAAACUCAUUAGUUAUGAAAUCAAAAUAAACAACACAGUUGGACCUCACUUUUCUCACCUGUUAAAAGAAAGAGUUGGGGUGUAUACUAUUUUAAGUCUCUUCAAGCUAUAAAUUGCUAGGGUUUCUCUAAAUUUGUUUCAAGUUAUUAAGCUUCUAAUGUUUACAUAAGGCUAAAUAUUCUCCAAUUUUAAGUCAUGCUCAACUCAAAUACACCUUCUCUCAAAAAACAGACAAACAUGAGUCAUUUACAGAAAAGUGCUAGUAGCUAAUCCACGCUGAAGCAAUGACCAAAUUAGAGUGUCACCAUUUUGUUAACCCCAGGUUGAGAGUCAGACAAGACUCAUCAACUGAUAAUAUAAGCUUUAGGUUUGGGUAAAGAAGCAAUACAAAGUGUCACCCCACAGAUCAUUAAUUGCAAUGAAAAAAAAAAAAAAAAGAAGUAUCCUUAUCACAGAGACGAUCUGGUGGCCAGUAUGAGAGCCAAGCAAUCGAAUGUAGCACCACCAUCAACACUGGGAACCUCCUCAUGUGAAUGAAAUAGAUAGAAUCACUUAGGAAGUUUUCUACCCCAAAUAUUUAAUCUGAAUCUAAUAAGCCAAGAUGUAACUUCCAGGUCAUAAGAAAUAAAGGUCAUAGAGGAUUGCAUUAUACACCUCCUUACAUAGUCAGAAAAAUACAGAAUUUUAUUGGACUUUACAUAAGCAACAGGGCAACAUCCUGUGUUGAAAGAAAUGAGAGGGACAUAAAAAAAAAUGCAGUGCUUAAACCUUGACUGAAUGAAGGUGCUAAAAACACACAAAAAAAGCCAUGAAGGUUUAGGCUCAAAUAAGAAAAAUCAAAUAUUAGAUGAUACAAAACUUUUGUCUAUUGUGUGUGUGUGUGUGUGUUAUAGUGAGAAAGAUACAUACAUAGGUGAUGGGUGGAUGGAUAGAAGAAUGGAUGGAGCAAAGGCAGAAUGGACAGAUGGAUGAUAGAAGGGUGGAUAGGUCGAUGGAUGAAGACAGAGAAAGAAAACAAAGAUGAUUUGAAUUGUUCAAUCUGGAUGGAGGGCAUAAGUGUUCAUUACUCUGUUCUUUCAACUUUUCUUAAAGUUUGAAAUUUUUAUAAUAAAUUUGGGGAAAGUUUACCUUCCUCCCUCUACGAGAAAAGACAAAUUUUAAGGAUGAGGGGGUCUCUUUAACAAUGUAAAGAGGUCUUCCCCUGUCAUGCCCUUUUCAUUCUGUGUUGCAGGGGUGCUUUUCCUCCACCAGGCUAUGACCUUCUUGAGGCCAAGGGAUAAGUCUAGUUUGCAGUUCUACCUCCAGUGUUUAGCCCCCAGGGCCUUGCACGCAAUGAACACAUAGCAAAUAUUUGUUGAAUUUAAUUGAAAUUUAUGUAUUGCCUGAACAACCACAUAGACUGAUUUGGGAAACAACACACUUACUUUGGAUAUGUCGUGAUGAAACCUAACAUUAAAAAUUAAUUGUGCAGACUAAACUGAAAUCAAUAAUAAAUAGAGUUAGAAAAAUAAUACAUAAAUCUUUACCAGGGUCAAAUGAUUUUUGCUUAACAUCUGGCAUGAGAAUUCUUCCAUAGGGAGGAAAUAAGUCUUUGUUUAGAGAAGUAUCCUGAUGACCAACUAUAUGUGAAGAGGAAAGAUAUUAGAGCAGGCUGUGGAAGGAUAAAGCCAAGAUAAAGGAGGGAUAGGAUCUCUCUGAGUAAGAGAUGGUAUAACUAGCUGAUUAUUUAUUUAGCCCUUGCCUCCUCUCUGAAGUCACCAGAGGGUUAGGAGAUUUUUUUUUUCCCUUUAGUAAGAGGCAUCUAACCCUCAAUUUCUAAUUAUUUGCCUUUCUGGGGUGUAAGCUUCUCUGUGUGUUCUCAAACUUUCAUAUCAAUAGGAUAUGGACCAAUUUUAUGAAGGUUUGAGUAAUCAGAUGACAGGAGGUAAAACCUCAGUUUAAACACAGUUUAACUAGCUUGUUAAUUACAAGGCUAUUCACUUUUCCAUUGAUCUUUCUCCUCUUUUAACUAUUACUCUUUCACUAUUGCCUUCAUAGCAUGAAAUAUCAAGUAGAAACAGCUAACCAGGAGAAGCUCUUUUCUGUGGUGAUGACAGACAUGCAGGAGACAUGUACGGUGACACAAGCACAUACCCAACCUCUGUUAUUCUCUGUCCUACAGCUUUUUAUCUCUAUAGGAAUGGAUUCUUAAAGGUCAGAGUUCUGCGAAUAGACUAUCCUGUAUAUUUCAGGCUAUAGACCUUUGAUCAUUUCAUCUAACCCUCUCUGUUCAAUCCUUCCCUGAAGGUUCAAUUCCUCUUUUACGCUUCCCCUUUUUUUUCCCCUAUCAAUCACGUGAGAGUUGCCUAAAUCUUCCCAGAACUUUUGGCUAUAUGUAUUGGAAAGUCACAACUGUUCAAUCUAGAUGCAGACUCAAGUUGAGGGUGAUUUCUUUAAUUUAGCCCAGGGGCUGACUGCUGCUCUAAAUUACCAAACCAUCACACUCGUGAUUUAUGAUGCAGAGAGAUUGACUAACUGAUUUAUACCCUGGUCCUCACUGCAGACUGUGACUUGUAUCUUACAGAGACUUGGCAAAGAGUUCUGGAGACAAUAACACCUGUGGAGCCAUCAUUACACGCACCACUGUGAUUAAACUUUAGCUCGUGUGGAAGUCACAUGCACUGAUUUUGCCCUAUUUCUAUAUUUUUGCAGUUGGUACAUUGAUGAUUCACAGCCUUUAAGGGAAGACAAAGGCACAUUGGUAUUAGUAUGGAGAAUACAGAGGGGAGAAAAUAACACUUUGGAGUAAAUAAAGUGCUACUUGUUCUUAUAUAUUGGGAUAUAUACACGUGUGUGUGUGUGUUAUGAAUAAGAUAUGACUUUAAUUAUCAGAAUUUGAAAGUCAAAACACUUCCAAGCUGAACAAAGACCAUGGGUGUAUUUUGUUUGGCUUGUAAAAGACUUAACAGGGUUUUGUGAGUCUUUUUGCUGUAGUGGCCAGCAUUUAAUCUGUAGAUACCCUAUAAAAAUAUUUUCCGACUUUUUUUUUUUUUUAAUACCCAGAAGUAUCUUUUAAUGUCUUUUUAAAAAACUUCCCCAAUACAUUAUUUUUUUUUUCCUACUAACUGCUCUUGAAGAAUGGAAAGAUCUGGCAACUCUGAGGUCUCCUUCAUCUGCUCCCCUCUCCACUCUCAGCCAACACAUGUUGGUCAUCAGAGAAGAAGCACCUCAAGGGAGCAUGAGCUCACCUGUUUGGUUUCCCUUUUGGAAGUUAAGGUAGUGAUUUGUAUUACACCCAGCUUAGCUUUUCCUUUGUCUUUUUUGGUUUGAUUCUCUGAAGUAUUUAUCAACCACAUAUUAAGGGGCAACUAUAAAGACAAAUGACUUUGAUGAUGUAAACACUUGAGGACUUCAGCAACAGUCUGAUGUACAAGGUGGUAAAAGGCAAAAGAGAAAAAAGGGAGUAAGAAAUGGGGAUAGAAUGCAAGUUUUUACUGCUCAUUUAUUUUUUCAAAUGGUGUCAUUAUUUAUUGAGUGCCUGCUAUAUGCCAGAUACCAAGCAACACACCAAAGAUACCAAAAGAAAUAAGACCUAACCCAGCCCUUCUAAAACUCAGCAUCUGUUACAGCAUCUCUCAUGCUUUACUGAGUCAAUUUAGGAGCUGGAUAUACAUAUUUCCAGGCCCCAUUCCAGAGACACUGAUACAUAUCAGUGUGUACUGAUUCCACUGUGAAAUCAGGAAUACAAAGGUAAUACUGACAUGUGGUUAAGAUCACUCUCUGAGGAGUAACAGUCAAUUCCGUGCAGUGUGAUCUAUACUCUGGAAUCUAGUAAACCAGGAGAUGAGGUGCGUCCUUGGGUGAGUCCAGACCAGUCUAGUGGCUGCAGUAGGAAGUUUGCCAGAAGAAAGAGAGUAGCAAGUAGGACAUUGUAAAGGAGUCCCUGAGAAUAUCAAAGUUGAAAAAUGAGACUGGAGAGGAAGGAUGUAAUAGCUCAACUAGAAGCCUAACAAGCGCUGAAACACUCAUGAGCCAUGGAUUCCAAUAAAAAUGUGGCAUACAUUAUUUCAUCUUUCCAGCAUGGCUAUGACACGUGAUGUCACUGCCCUAAUUUUACAGGGGAGGAAACUGAGGUUUAAGUGUGAAGUCAGAGUUUCUCAACCUCAACUCUAUUGCCAUUCGGGGAGAAAUGCUUUUUUUGAUGUGGUGGGUUGUCUUAUGUGUUUUGAGAUGUUGAACAGUAUCUUUGGCCUCUACCUACUAGAUGCCAGUAGUGGUCCCUCCCUCUCCCCGUCCCACUCCAGUUUGACAAACAAAAUGUCUCCAGACACUGCCAGAAGGCCCCUGGAAGGGAAAAAUAACUGCUAGUUGAAAUCAUUACAAAUAAGGUCUCACAAGUAGUAAGGGGACAGGCAGAAUUUAUUAAUCUAUUAAAUGCCUAGCUCAAACUCUCAAACAUUUGCCAAGAGAAUAAGUGCAAAAUAGAGAUGAUCAGACUAAAACUUUGUUAAAAAAAAAAAAAAAGAUCACUCUUUGGUAAAAAUAUCAGUACAAACUAAAAAAAAAAAAAAAAAAAAAAAAAGCUCAAGGCUUUUAAAAAUAGAAUCCAACUAAACAUGGCAUUCAUGGGCUUGAAUGUACGGGUUGAUCUGCUAAUGGAGGUCUGAAGUUGGAGUAAAAAGUUGCAUGCAUACAGUCUGUGCCUGUGGUUCCUGUGAUUUUACCCUGUGAUACUUUAAAGUAAAUGUGACAUUACACACAUUUUAGCAUCUAUUUUCCCAGCAGGAAGUGUAAGAUAAAGAGGCUCAAUCAGUAUGUUAAAAUAAGACCUGAUGCACAGAAGGGAGAAAAGCUUUCAGUUCAUAAGAAAUAUUAUCUCAAGGAAAUUAAAAGCCUGAAAUAUGCUGUAUGAUUACUGACCCCCAAUGUCCUGCUGUGGUACAGUUGAAGGACUUUCAAAGAUGCUUUCUAUUUGCUAAAUACAUCUGCAAAAGUACAUUGCUUUCCCAGGUGUCAAUGUGCAUCAGUGGGAAAAUUUAUAUUGAUGGGUACCAUCACCAAACCUUCUCAACUGAGAACUUGUUGGAGAAAAAUAAGUCGCUUAAAUUAACAGGUCAAAUGGCAACAGUCUUGAUGGUUACUUUUUUCAAGCUUCUGUUUUCAUCUAUUCUUUCCAAGUAAGCUGAAGAACAAAUUUGUACCAUAUGAAUGUUGUGGUUGAAAAUUAAUCAAUAAGCACAUCGCUUUCAUACCUUUUCUUCUUCCAUUCUUUCCUUCCAUCCCUUUCUUCUUUCCUUCCUUCUUGUUCUCUCAUGUUCUCUUCUUCCUUCAAGCCUUUCUACCUUCAAUUGUUCACUCAUUCAGUCGUUUGUUGAAUAAAUAUUUACUAAAUGCUCACUAUGUGCCAGAUACUCUAUUACACUCUGGGGACAGAUGCAACACUUGCCCUCACAAAACUUUAAAUCUAGACGGAGAGGUAGACAGUCAUCAAAAUUUGACUUAAGCAAAGGAAAUCUGCAAUUCUCAUGAGAGCUAUGGCAGACAGGUAGCUG